rnacentral:rRNA from 1 species
GAUGAACGCUAGCUACAGGCUUAACACAUGCAAGUCGAGGGGCAGCAUGAACAAAGCUUGCUUUGUUUGAUGGCGACCGGCGCACGGGUGCGUAACACGUAUCCAAUCUGCCCGCGGCUCGGGGAUAGCCCAUCGAAAGAUGGAUUAAUACCCGAUGGCGUGGUCACUCCGCAUGGAGUUUCCACUAAAGGUUUUCCGGCCGCGGAUGAGGAUGCGUAUGAUUAGGUAGUAGGCGGGGUAACGGCCCACCUAGCCUUCGAUCAUUAGGGGUUCUGAGAGGAAGGUCCCCCACACUGGAACUGAGACACGGUCCAGACUCCUACGGGAGGCAGCAGUGAGGAAUAUUGGUCAAUGGGCGAGAGCCUGAACCAGCCAAGUAGCGUGAAGGAAGACUGCCCUACGGGGUUGUAAACUUCUUUUGUUUGGGAAUAAAAGACGCUACGCGUAGCGUUCUGCAUGUACCUUACGAAUAAGCAUCGGCUAAUUCCGUGCCAGCAGCCG